GUACCGAUAAUCUCAAAUGAUACCACGAUUUCCGUAAUAUUGCAGUCAAGUCUGCUUUGACUCGGCUUCUAUGGUUGUACUUCCUUUCCAUUUCUGCUAUUGUCGGAAUAUGAUCGGAGAAAAACGCAGAUCAGUAACAGAGUAUGCAGAUACUACUUUGAAGCAACUUCGGAUAUUGUUAGGCCAAAAGUAGAAUCAAAUAUCAGUUGAUUGAGUACAAAAUAGGAAACAGUAGAUCGGAA
rnacentral:misc_RNA from 1 species